rnacentral:rRNA from 1 species
GGGGGGGGGGGGGGGGGGGGGGGGGGGGGGGGGGGGGGGGGGCGGCACGGUAAGAGCGUGCGCGUACGGGGGGCGCGGGGCGGACGGGUGAGGGAUGCAGCGGGAUCUCCUUUUUGGUGGGGGGUAGCGUAGGGAAACUUACGCUAAUACCGCAUACGACCGACGGGUGGAAGCAGGUGAUGUUCGUGGCUUGCGCGAUUGAAGUCAUCGAUGUCGGAUUAGCGAGUUGGCGUGGCAAAGGCCCACAAAGGCGACGAUCCGUAGCUGGUCUGAGAGGAUGAUCAGCCACACUGGAACUGAGACACGGUCCAGAAUCCUACGGGAGGCAGCAGUGGGGAAUAUUGGACAAAGGGCGCAAGCCUGAUCCAGCCAUACCGCGUGGGUGAAGAAGGCCUUCGGGUUGUAAAGCCCUUUUGUUGGGAAAGAAAAGCAGCAGGUUAAUACCCCGCUGUUCUGACGGUACCCAAAGAAUAAGCACCGGCUAACUUCGUG